rnacentral:rRNA from 1 species
AUUGAACGCUGGCGGCAGGCCUAACACAUGCAAGUCGAACGAGUGGCGGACGGGUGAGUAAUGUCUGGGAAAUUGCCCGAUGGAGGGGGAUAACUACUGGAAACGGUAGCUAAUACCGCAUACCAUCGGAUUGGCCCCGAUGGGAUUCGCUAGUUGGUGGGGUAACGGGUCACCUAGGCCACGAUCCGUAGCUGGUCUGAGAGGAUGACCAGGCAAACUGGAACGUAGACACGGUCCAGACUCCUACGGGAGGAAGCAGUGGGGAAUAUUGCACAAUGGGCGCAAGCCUGAUGCAGCCAUGCCGCGUGUAUGAAGAAGGCCUUCGGGUUGUAAAGUACUUUCCGCGAGGAGGCGUUACUCGCAGAAGAAGCACCGGCUAACUCCGUGCCAGCAGCCGCGGUAAUAC